UACGUAGGGUGCAAGCGUUAAUCGGAAUUACUGGGCGUAAAGCGUGCGCAGGCGGUUGUGCAAGACAGAUGUGAAAUCCCCGGGCUUAACCUGGGAAUUGCAUUUGUGACUGCACGGCUAGAGUGUGUCAGAGGGGGGUAGAAUUCCACGUGUAGCAGUGAAAUGCGUAGAUAUGAUGGAGGAACACCGAUGGCGAAGGCAGCCCCCUGGGUCAAGAUUGACGCUCAUGCACGAAAGCGUGGGGAGCAAACAGG
rnacentral:rRNA from 1 species